rnacentral:rRNA from 1 species
AUGUUGGCUCGCCAGAGAAUUUGCCACACCCCGAUAAGCGCAGAACCAGAAGCUGGCACGAGAAGUUCUUCGGGACCACCUAUUGCACGAAGACAGAGGAGGGUAAUAAGGCCCGCAGCAUCUCAAAGGUCUCCAUUCAUUGACUACAACAAGAAGAAGACUUUCAGCUCCAAUAAGGCAGUGAACAAGAUUUACGCUGCCCUCUUGUAUUGGGUCAGGCAUCACAAAGGAGCAAAUGAUGAAGCUACCAACCCUGAGAUAAUCAGGUAUGGUGCUUUCUACAUUUCUUUAAAGGAGUUAGUUGAUUCGAUGAAGCCGGUUCAAUGGUUGUCAAAAAUUGUUAUUGAGACUGGAAUCUUACACAUCAUGGAUAACUUACCAGAAGGGUCAAAGAAGGUUGUUAUGCCACUGAGGUUUUCUAUAAAUUUACAGCAAGGGAUCCACAAUGUGAAUGAGAUAAACAAGAAGUUUGAUUACAAAAACCGUCUCGACAAGAAAGACUUGGUCAUGCUGCCAGUGCUCGAGUGCACUGAUGUAACCGAUAAGGAGGGAGGGAGGCAUUAUUGGGUCUUCAAUGUCAAUUUGAGGGACGGACGCUUCAAAGUUCUUGACUCAAGCAGGACGCUGAACAACAUUGUGCUGAUGACCACCGCCUCUACCAUCACGGGGGCAGUACGCCAGCUAUGGAGGAAGCAUUACCCAAAGUUCAGCAUCGAGCACUUCCAGAUUAUUGACAUUGACGUACCGAAACAGCUCGGCAAUAAUGAGUGUGGGUUGUUCGCACUGCUUAACGCCACCGAGUGGAAUGGUAGCCAACUGCCCAACUACGACCCCAAGGAAGUACUCAACAUCAGGAAGAAGCUGGCAUAUGAUUGGGUCACCAGCGUGCACAACACCGCCCCAUGGAGGAAAUUGCUGAGAUAUGACAAGGAGUAG